AUUGAACGCUGGCGGCAUGCCUUACACAUGCAAGUCGAACGGUAACGGGCCUUCGGGUGCCGACGAGUGGCGAACGGGUGCGUAAUACAUCGGAACGUGCCCGAUCGUGGGGGAUAACGAGGCGAAAGCUUUGCUAAUACCGCAUACGAUCUACGGAUGAAAGCAGGGGACCGCAAGGCCUUGCGCGGACGGAGCGGCCGAUGGCAGAUUAGGUAGUUGGUGGGAUAAAAGCUUACCAAGCCGACGAUCUGUAGCUGGUCUGAGAGGAUGAUCAGCCACACUGGGACUGAGACACGGCCCAGACUCCUACGGGAGGCAGCAGUGGGGAAUUAUGGACAAUGGGCGCAAGCCUGAUCCAGCCAUGCCGCGUGCAGGAUGAAGGCCUUCGGGUUGUAAACUGCUUUUGUACGGAACGAAAAGCCUUCUUUUAAUACAGGAGGGUCAUGACGGUACCGUAAGAAUAAGCACCGGCUAACUACGUG
rnacentral:rRNA from 1 species